UGGGGAAUAUUGCACAAUGGGCGCAAGCCUGAUGCAGCCAUGCCGCGUGUAUGAAGAAGGCCUUCGGGUUGUAAAGUAUUUUCCGCGGGGAGGAAGGCGAUAAGGUUAAUAACCUUGUCGAUUGACGUUACCCGCAGAAGAAGCACCGGCUAACUCCGUGCCAGCAGCCGCGGUAAUACGGAGGGUGCAAGCGUUAAUCGGAAUUACUGGGCGUAAAGCGCACGCAGGCGGUCUGUCAAGUCGGAUGUGAAAUCCCCGGGCUCAACCUGGGAACUGCAUUCGAAACUGGCAGGCUAGAGUCUUGUAGAGGGGGGUAGAAUUCCAGGUGUAGCGGUGAAAUGCGUAGAGAUCUGGAGGAAUACCGGUGGCGAAGGCGGCCCCCUGGACAAAGACUGACGCUCAGGUGCGAAAGCGUGGGGAGCAAACA
rnacentral:rRNA from 1 species